AGGCUUCUGUAUUCGAGCUGAGAUUUCGUCAGCGAUCAACCCAUUGAGACUGAUGCAACUUCUAAAAUAAUUGAAGUG
rnacentral:pre_miRNA from 1 species